GGGCUGGCUGCGGCGGCACAGACGCUAAAAUUGGAACGAUACAGAGAUUAGCAUGGUCCCUGCGCAAGGACGAGACUCUUAUUGCUGAAUGGUUUCCUGUCAUA